rnacentral:lncRNA from 1 species
CUCACACAGGGCUGAGGUCUCUGGGAAGGCAGGUGUGGUCUAGAAGAUGAGGCUGCUGGGUCUUGUCCUGUGCCUGGUCACAGCUCCCCAAGGUGAGUGUCCCCAGUGUCAGACCUGGGUCCAUGGGGAGGUUGUGACUGCAGGUGACUAACAGGGUGUGACUGUCCUUGUCCUCAGGUGUCCUGUGCCAGGUGCAGCUGCAGGAGUCAGGACCUGGCCUGGUGAAGCCCUCGCAGACCCUGUCCCUCACCUGUGCUGUCUCUGGAUUCUCCAUCACAACCAGUUACUACUGCUGGGAGUGGAUCCGUCAGCCCCCAGGACAGGGGCUGGAGUGGAUAGGGGACAUAUGUUAUAAUGGUAACACUUACUACAGCCCAUCCCUCAAGAGCCGAGUGUCCAUCUCCAGAGACCCGUCCAAGAACCAGUUCUCCCUGCAGCUGAGCUCCCUGACCACUGAGGACACGGCCACCUAUUACUGUGCCAGAGACACAGUGA